rnacentral:lncRNA from 15 species
UUCGCCUUUGUUAUAUGAAGUAUAAUGGUUUGGCUCUUGUAAUUCCCUCCCUUGUCGGUUAACCAGUGUUUUUCUUCUGCAUGUCUAUAGGUGGCGCUGGCCGCGACGUUUCGUCCGCUUCUUGGGACUUCCUCAGGCUUAAGGCCACAGCAUGCAGGAUUUCAUGGACUUCGUGGAGCUCCCUCAACACGGAAUAAGGUGGCGCUGGCCGCGACGUUUCGUCCGCUUCUUGGGACUUCCUCAGGCUU